rnacentral:sRNA from 1 species
CACAUUAACGCUAACGAUGAAUACUUCGUCUACGCUGACGCCUUAAAGCUGCAAGACG